UACGUAGGAGGCAAGCGUUGUCCGGAAUUACUGGGUGUAAAGCGCGUGUAGGUGGGAGGCCAAGUCUGUGGUGAAAGCGCCCGGCUCAACUGGGCAGAGUCCAUGGAAACUGGUCACCUGGAGGACGGUAGAGGCGAGUGGAAUUCCCGGUGUAGUGGUGAAAUGCGCAGAUAUCAGGAGGAACACCGGUGGCGAAGGCGGGUCUCUGGGCAGUAACUGACGCUGAGGAGCGAAAGCGUGGGGAGCGAACAGG
rnacentral:rRNA from 1 species